rnacentral:rRNA from 1 species
GAGUUUGAUCCUGGCUCAGGAUAAACGCUGGCGGCGUGCCUAACACAUGCAAGUCGAACGCCCUUGAGCAAUCAAGGGAGUGGCGGACGGGUGAGUAACACGUGGGUACCUACCCCAAGGUGAGGAAUACCGGCGAGAAAUCGCCGACAAUACCGCAUACGUUUCGCAAGAAACAAAGCUCGCAAGGGCGCCAUGGGAAGGGCCUGCGGCCGAUUAGCUCGUUGGUGAGGUAAAAGCUUACCAAGGCGACGAUCGGUAGCUGGUCUGAGAGGACGAUCAGCCACACUGGGAUUGAGAACGGCCCAGACUCCUACGGGGGGCAGCAGUGAGGAAUUUUCGUCAAUGGGGGCAACCCUGAACGAGCAACGCCGCGUGCAGGAUGAAGGUUUUCGGAUCGUAAACUGCUUUUCUCUGGGACGAGAACGGACGGUGCCAGAGGAAUCAGCCCCGGCUAACUACGUGCCAGCAGCCGCGGUAAUACGUAGGGGGCAAGCGUUGUCCGGAUUUAUUGGGCGUAAAGCGCGCGCAGGCGGUCUGCCAAGUUCGGAGUGACAGUUUCCGGCUUAACCGGAAAAGGUCUUCGAAAACUGGUGGACUUGAGAACUUGAGGGGGAGACGGAAUUCCGGGUGGAGCGGUGAAAUGCGUAGAUAUUGGGAGGAACACCGGUGGCGAAGGCGACCAUCUGGACAGUGACUGACGCUGAGGCGCGAAAGCGUGGGGAGCAAACAGGAUUAGAUACCCUGGUAGUCCACGCCGUAAACUAUGAGAGCUAGCCGUUGGAGGGUUUACCCUUCAGUGGCGCAGCUAACGCAUUAAGCUCUCCGCCUGGGGAGUACGGUCGCAAGAUUAAAACUCGAAGGAAUUGACGGGGGCCCGCACAAGCGGUGGAGCAUGUGGUUUAAUUCGACGCAACGCGCAGAACCUUACCAGGGUUUGACAUCCUGCGACCGCUCCUUAAUGGGAGUUUUCCCGCAAGGGACGCAGAGACAGGUGCUGCAUGGCUGUCGUCAGCUCGUGUCGUGAGAUGUUGGGUUAAGUCCCGCAACGAGCGCAACCCUCGCCUUUAGUUGCCAUCAUUCAGUUGGGCACUCUAGAGAGACUGCCGGUGAUAAACUGGAGGAAGGGGGAGACGACGUCAAGUCAGUAUGGCCCUUAUGCCUGGGGCUACACACGUGCUACAAUGGUCGUUACAAAGGGGUGCAAACUCGCAAGAGCCAGCAAAUCCCAAAAAGACGGCCUCAGUUCAGAUCGGGGGCUGCAACUCGCCCCCGUGAAGUCGGAAUCGCUAGUAACGGUAGAUCAGCAUCGCUACCGUGAAUACGUUCCCGGGUCUUGUACACAC